AUUUCCACCUCUUUUCUAGAGUGGGAGGAAAAGCAGUCUUAUUUUAAGAAAGGAAGGAAUCUGGGCCACCCAGAUUUUUCCACAGCUUGAGGAAGACCUGGUUUCCAAAAUAUUGCCUAUAAUCUUGAUUUCUAUUUUAAGUGUCUGUUACAUGUUUUACAGUGAAUAUGCUGGCGAAGCAAGACACACUGAAGGAAUUAACUUGUUUGAGUGUAACCUUUACAGUGUAGACAGCUUAUGCUUGCUGUCAGUGCCAUCCUUACACAGAGCCUGGCACUGCUGCCUGUCUAGACUGCCUCGAAGAUGCUUAGCCGCUGCUCCAACAGGAAAACUUCCAUGAUAAUCCUGAGCUGUGAUUCCGCUUCUGGAGUUUCCAGAGUUUUCAAUGAGCUGUUUUCUUUUCCAAGAGGCCAAUACCAGUUAGAAACCAUACGUCUUUUUUUUUUUUUCCUGUUUAUGUAGAUUACUGAGAUGUGACUUAUUUGCCUUAUUAUUCUUCCAGAGGUAUAGACACUGCCCCUGGUUUGGGAGUUUUUGGGGGGACCAGGGGCACUUGCUUGAAGCAAGUUGUGCUGUCACCCCAGCAUCCCACCAACACUGUCAGGUACUGAGGCCAGAUCACACUUUGCGCCCAAGUCACUGGUGGAGUUGGGAAGAGAACACAGCAUUCCAGCAGAGGCGUUUUUUACACUGAGGAGAGGAAUCUUUGAGAGUUUAAGUAACUUGCCCCGGACCCCACAGCUGGGAAAUGGAAGAGCUGGGAUUCAAACGUAGGGCUGUCUGGCCCCAAAGCCAGUUGUUUAAAAGCUGGAUUCUGCUUGAGUAGAAAUAAUACAGUCAACUGUCACCUGGCACGUGUUCAGCUAGAAUUCCCUAUGACUUGGCAUGUUGCAGUAGUGCCAAGACAAAUCCUGUUUAUAAUGCAAAUCCUCAAGACCCUUCUUAAUCAUCAGAAAGAUUAAACUGUUCACUGUGGUUUAUUAGGUAUACUUUAUGAUGUUGUAAUUCUUAGAAAAAUUUUUGUCCAUAAAUCACCAGCAGAGUGACUUUUUAAUCGUUUUUUGAGGCAUAAUUAAUGUUGGGUGCCUUUUUUUAAUGUGAAUAUGUGAAUACCAUAUUUCCUUGCUGUGUUGGGUGGUUGAGAGUUUAUGGUACUUUACUUAAAUUUAUGCCUUUGUGAAGUUUUCCAAAGAACACUAGGACUCGCCAGAAAGAUAAGUCCUAUGGAAAUGCCUUCCAAACAAUUAAAUUCAUGGAGUUUAGGCAUAUGAUAUUAUUGCUCGUUCCUGAAAAAGUAUUUUCCUCCUGGCAAGAAUAAAUGUGAAAUUAAAAUGAAA